AGAGAACUAAAGUGUGGCCCAGGCUUGAAAGUCUUGGCCAAUCUAUAGAUUAAGCUCUUGAUAUAUAUCUUACUGAUAAUGAUAUAGAGAAAACUUUCAAAGAAAACUGGAGAUGGGUUGGUGAGAUGGCACCAUGGUUUAAAGGCACUUCCAGUUUUGUAGGGAACCCAGUUUGGUUCCCAGGACUCACUGGCAUUCCCAAGCAUCUUGAACUCCAGUUCCAGAGGGUCCAGUUCCUUAGGGCCUCUGUGAGCACUGGACAUGCACACAAUUCACCAUUGCAAGCACCAAGUGCUCAGUUAGAAAAAACUGGUACAGCUUUGCACAACGGCGACCCCCUCUGUGGAUGCAAGGCCAGACGAGAACAAAACAGAAUCCCACGUUCUCAAACCUUAUCAUGCUGGAGAUGUUUUCCUGGCGUCUCCAUCAUCUAGCCAUCCAUGUGCUAUCUUCAGACUUUGCUGCGAUGGGAACCGGACUCCUCUUUCUCCCUUCCUCAGCCUUCGCUGGAAAGGUUUUGCCUUAUGGUUUCUGGAGAAAAAGGCUACAAGUCUGUUUGGAUGGCGCCCGGGGUCCCCGUAGAAGCAUCGAGGCGUUCCUGCGAUAAAGGCUGUUGAGAAGAAUCCGACUGU